rnacentral:rRNA from 1 species
UACGUAGGUGGCAAGCGUUGUCCGGAUUUAUUGGGCGUAAAGCGCGCGCAGGCGGUCCUUUAAGUCUGAUGGGAAAUCUUGCGGCUCAACCGCAAGCGGUCAUUGGAAACUGGGGGACUUGAGUACAGAAGAGGAAAGCGGAAUUCCACGUGUAGCGGUGAAAUGCGUAGAGAUGUGGAGGAACACCAGUGGCGAAGGCGGCUUUCUGGUCUGUAACUGACGCUGAGGCGCGAAAGCGUGGGGAGCAAACAGG